rnacentral:lncRNA from 1 species
AAUAAAUUGUAUUAGAAUAAGUAAUAUAUUUAUUAUAUAAGAAUGACGAUAAGGUCAAGGACAAAUAAAAUAAUAUUUCACAAGAUGUUUCUAUUUUAUAGAAUUGACAAAGCUCUUUUAACUAUGACAGAAGAUUCAGAAAUGGCUCCAAGCACUUUGAUUUUUGUUUCUACUCAAAGGAGAUUCAGAAGACGACAAACUUAUAUAAUACACCUGCUCAUAGAGAUGUACUGAUAUCCAUCUAUUCCACGUAAUGAAAAAGACAACAGAGUUUCGCCCUUUUUGCCCAGGCUGGAGUGCAACCACAAGAUCUCAGUUCACUGCCAUUUCUGCCUCACAGGUUCAAGCGAUUCUCCUGCCUCAGCCUCCCAAGUAGCUGG